CUUUUCUUUUUUUUAGUUAUGCUAUUUUUUUGGCAGAAAAUAAAUAAUGUAAAAACUAAAACUUUUUGUUUUAAAUAUUUAUUAUUAUUAUUAUUAUUUUAUAAUUAAUUUUAAUUCAGGGUGGGCAAAAAUUAAUUACGAUUUUAUUUUGAAAAGUUUGAGUUUCGACUGAAGGUAAAGUUUCGAUUAAAUUAACCAACAAACCGAAGUUGGCAUUUACAGCUCCUAAGGCAGAAGUCAAUUACGACAUGUUGAAAAGUUUGAGUUCCGACCAGAGUUAAAGUUGCGGUGAACCAAACAACAGAAUUUGACAUUGACGACUCUCGGAGCCCGAAGUCAAAUAUAGUAAUUUGGAGCAUUUGAGUUUCAAUUGAAAGUGAAAUUAUGGUGAAUUAAACAUCAGAAGUGAGUGUUAAUUUACGGCCGAAAACUACUUCAUUCGUCUGUUUAUUUUGGUUUCAGUUGUU
rnacentral:lncRNA from 1 species